UACAGAGGUCCCAAGCGUUGUUCGGAUUCACUGGGCGUAAAGGGUGCGUAGGCGGUCGGGUAAGUCUGAUGUGAAAUCUCACAGCUUAACUGUGAAACUGCAUUGGAUACUAUCCGGCUCGAGGAAUGGAGGGGAGACUGGAAUACUUGGUGUAGCAGUGAAAUGCGUAGAUAUCAAGUGGAACACCAGUGGCGAAGGCGAGUCUCUGGACAUUUCCUGACGCUGAGAUGCGAAAGCGUGGGGAGCAAACAGG
rnacentral:rRNA from 1 species